rnacentral:rRNA from 1 species
CAGAGUNUAAACGGNGGNNACNCGCANNACANGNANANGNAGCGCNAANANAAAGUAACCUUGUANGANGAUGACGAGCGGCGGACGGGUGAGUAAUGCUUGGGAACAUGCCUUGAGGUGGGGGACAAACAGUUGGAAACGACUGCUAAUACCGCAUAAUGUCUACGGACCAAAGGGGGCUUCGGCUCUCGCCUUNAGAUUGGCCCAAGUGGGAUUAGCUAGUUGGUGAGGUAAUGGCUCACCAAGGCGACGAUCCCUGAGCUGGNAUGAGAGGAUGAUNCAGNCCANCACUGGAACUGAGACCNACGGCCCGCNNCCNNACGGGAGGCAGCAGUGGGGAANGCNAUGGGGCGCAAGCCUGNAUGCAGCCAUGCCGCGUGUGUGAAGAAGGCCUUCGGGUUGUAAAGCACUUUCAGUCAGGAGGAAAGGUUAGUAGUUAAUACCUGCUAGCUGUGACGUUACUGACAGAAGAAGCACCGGCUAACUCCGUGCCAGCAGCCGCGGUAAUACGGAGGGUGCGAGCGUUAAUCGGAAUUACUGGGCGUAAAGCGUACGCAGGCGGUUUGUUAAGCGAGAUGUGAAAGCCCCGGGCUCAACCUGGGAACUGCAUUUCGAACUGGCAAACUAGAGUGUGAUAGAGGGUGGUAGAAUUUCAGGUGUAGCGGUGAAUGCGUAGAGAUUCUGAAGGAAUACCGAUGGCGAAGGCAGCCACCUGGGUCAACACUGACGCUCAUGUACGAAAGCGUGGGGAGCAAACAGGAUUAGAUACCCUGGUAGUCCACGCCGUAAACGAUGUCUACUAGAAGCUCGGAACCUCGGUUCUGUUUUUCAAAGCUAACGCAUUAAGUAGACCGCCUGGGGAGUACGGCCGCAAGGUUAAAACUCAAAUGAAUUGACGGGGGCCCGCACAAGCGGUGGAGCAUGUGGUUUAAUUCGAUGCAACGCGAAGAACCUUACCUACACUUGACAUACAGAGAACUUACCCAGAGAUGGUUUGGUGCCUUCGGGAACUCUGAUNANCAGGUGCUGNCAUGGCUGUNCGUNCAGNCNACNUACUUUUNAGNUGUUAGUUANA